AUUACAUACUUAGGGGGCAAGUCAUUUAAUUAACCAGAACAGGUGGUCACACUAUCUCAUCUAAGGGUAAGUCAUUUAUCUUCUAGAGAAAAAUCAGCAAAGUCGUAAAACAUGACUUAGUAGAAAACUCAAUCAUCGUACACAAUGCAUCUCGUGACUGCAUGGCCAUCUGGCGAUUGCCCACAAGUUUAACUUUAACCUAAGUCUUUCUCUGUUCCUGCUUUCCAAUAGCUCGACUCCCUCAACUGGAGACACUGUGUCUGGGCUUGAGCCCUCUGUAUUGUGAGGCCCAUUUUCAGGGGGCCUCACACGGGAGCGUUCC